CCUACGGGUGGCAGCAGUGAGGAAUAUUGGUCAAUGGGCGCGAGCCUGAACCAGCCAAGUCGCGUGAGGGAAGACGGUCCUAUGGAUUGUAAACCUCUUUGGUCGGGGAGCAAAAGACUCCACGCGUGGCGUUCCGAGAGUACCCGAAGAAAAAGCAUCGGCUAACUCCGUUCCAGCAGCCGCGGUAAUACGGAGGAUGCGAGGGUUAUCCGGAUUUUUGGGGUUUAAAGGGUGCGCAGGCGGAAGAUCAAGUCAGCGGUAAAAUUGAGAGGCUCAACCUCUUCGAGCCGUUGAAACUGGUUUGCUUGAGUGAGUGAGAAGUAUGCAGAAUGCGUGGUGUAGCGGUGAAAUGCAUAGAUAUCACGCAGAACUCCGAUUGCGAAGGCAGCAUACCGGCGCUCAACUGACGCUCAUGCACGAAAGUGUGGGUAUCGAACAGGAUUAGAUACCCGAGUAGUC
rnacentral:rRNA from 1 species